CAUUCCUGCUCCAGCUGUCAGUCCUGUGAAGUGAGACCCCACCCACUGCUCUGAAUAGGAGCUCCACAUAGAUGGCACAUAUUCUGCAGGCCUGAAAAAUACAAGAGCUAUGAGGGUGUGCCUUUGUCCCCAUGGAUUUCAAAGAAUGUUAUGAUGGCACAGAGACCUCAACAGAACCUAGAUACAAGGAUUGAGCCUCUACACAAAGCCCUUCCUAGGGCAAUGCCUCCUGGAACCAUCUAAAGUCUAACGAUGUAACAAUUGUAAUCCACUGAAUGGAUUUCUAAUAUUCUAGACUUCUGCCUUAGAGCAUUAAUAAUAAUUUGAUUGAAGAGAAGGAUAAUAACAGUGAACCAACUCUAUCAUGUUUAACCCUGUAUAGUAUUUACAGAUAGCAGAAUAGGAAAAGAGGCUGUAGCUGUCUGUUGCUGAUAAGAAGGCAGAUGUUGAGUUUGGUGUCAUCUCAGAGCCCUCCUUCACCAGAAGAUGCCAGGAAGAAAAAAGGAUGGAGACAUGCUGAGGGAGCACAGCAAUUCUAAAGCCCUGCUGGCCUCCUCUACUUGGCCCAUUACCUCUUUGGUGCAUGCCUUUCUAUCCCUCAGUCCUUUGAUGCUCCUGACUCCACCCUUCAUCUGAGAAGGCCUCCUCUUCCAGGGCUCUAAGGGGGUAACUAGAAUGGCUAGAUUUAAACAUUCAUUCUUCCAGAUACAUUAGUUGCCUAUGGCACUAAAAUGAUUAGGAUUGCUUUAGAAAUAAAGUAUCACUUGCUUAAUUUAUAUAAUGGGAUUCGAAAGAAAGGGCAAAUGCUUGACUUACAUUUCAUAUGCAAAAA